UCCUUUUCUUUAUUCUUCAAUAUCUAUGAACCCUGCUGUGGUUGGGGGAGAGGAGGCUGCACAGAGACAAUACUGACAUCACAAGAGCCCUCGAAGCCUUCUUGGAAUCAUAUGGAAUCCUUAGGUGGUGAUUUGGAAAGUACUGCUAGAAGCAUCUCUCAUCACUUCUGAAAGGAGAGUGCUGAAGCCAGGAAACUGCUCCCUCAGUGAGAAUUAGAGGAAGAAACCACUUGAAUCACAUAUGAAACAUUCAGCCCAAUCAAAGCAACCUUCAAGAGCUGAAAAGUAACCACAGCUUUGAGAGUCCAUGCACUACGCGGGCCUCUCACUGCUGCGGCC